CGACGUGGGUAACCUGCCUCAUACAGGGGGAUAACAGUUAGAGAUGACUGCUAAUACCGCAUAAGCGCACAGUGCUGCAUGGCACAGUGUGAAAAACUCCGGUGGUAUGAGAUGGACUCGCGUCUGAUUAGCUAGUUGGUGGGGUAACGGCCUACCAAGGCGACGAUCCAUAGCCGACCUGAGAGGGUGACCGGCCACAUUGGGACUGAGACACGGCCCAA
rnacentral:rRNA from 1 species